rnacentral:rRNA from 1 species
UACAGAGGGUGCGAGCGUUGUUCGGAAUUAUUGGGCGUAAAGGGCGCGUAGGCGGUGCGGUAAGUCACCUGUGAAAUCCCUCAGCUCAACUGAGGAAGUGCGCCCGAAACUGCUUAGCUUGAGUGCCGGAGAGGAUGGCGGAAUUCCCCAAGUAGAGGUGAAAUUCGUAGAUAUGGGGAGGAACACCGGUGGCGAAGGCGGCAUUCUGGACUACAACUGACACUGAGGAACGAAAGCCAGGGGAGCAAACGGG